rnacentral:lncRNA from 13 species
CACAACGGAACACGAGCGUUUUCUUAUUAGACAUGUUCAGGUAGUCUCUCCUCGUUUCAGCCUGUUUGAUUCCUAAUGAAUACGACCCUGUUCAUUCUGUUUGAUUCCUGAUGAAUCACCUGUUCUGUGGUGUAUUCAUUCUGUUUGAUUUCCAAUGAAUCACCUGUUCUGUNNNNNNNNNNCAACUGGACUGGGGUGAGAUUCAGUAAGAUUGGGGUCAACUCUGGUUUCAACUGGACCCGGGUUACGAUUCAGUAGGAUUGGGAUCAACUCUGGGUUCAACUGGACCGGGGUGAGAUUCAGUAGGAUUGGGUUCAACUCUGGUUUCAACUGGACUGGGUUACGAUUCAGUAGGAUUGGGAUCAACUCUGGUUUCAACUGGACUGGGUUACGAUUCAGUAGGAUUGGGAUCAAAUCUGGU